UACGGGAGGGGCUAGCGUUGUUCGGAAUUACUGGGCGUAAAGCGCACGUAGGCGGCUUUGUAAGUUAGAGGUGAAAGCCCGGGGCUCAACUUCGGAAUUGCCUUAAGACUGCAUCGCUAGAAUUGUGGAGAGGUAAGUGGAAUUCCGAGUGUAGAGGUGAAAUUCGUAGAUAUUCGGAAGAACACCAGUGGCGAAGGCGACUUACUGGACACAUAUUGACGCUGAGGUGCGAAAGCGUGGGGAGCAA
rnacentral:rRNA from 1 species